GGGGGUAAAUUAAUAAAAUAAAAUUAAUAAAAGAAUUUUUAAUAUUGGGGGAUAUUAAAGUAUUUUUUUAAAGAAAAAAUAAAAAAUUUUAUAGUGAAUUAGUAUUGUAGAAGAAAUUUGAAAUAAAAUUGAAAAUUAAAUAAAAAAUAAGUAAAUUUAAUUUGUUGUAUCUUGGGUAUCAGAGUUUAUUUAAAAAUAUUUAAUAAAUAAUAAAAUCUCGAAUUUAAAAGAGUUAAUUAAUUAUAAAAGUUAAUGUUGAAUAAUUAUUUUUAAUAGUUAAUUAGAAAUGAAAUGUUAAUCGUUUUUAAAUAUAUCUAGUUUUUUCAGAAAAAAAUUUAAUUUUAAAUUUAAAAAAUUUAAUAUUUAAUUAAUUAAAUAUUAAAUUUUAAAAUUAAAUAUUUUAAGGGAUAAGCUUUAAUUUAUAUAAUUAUAAUAAAAAUAAUUAUUAAUAAAAUUUUUAAAAUUUAUAUUGUUUAAAAAUUAUAAUUUAUUAAAAAAAAUUUUAUGAAAAAUAAAAUUUAAUUAAAAAUUUAAUUUUUUAUGAAAAAAUAUUUUUUAAUGGGGGGAAAAUAAAAAUAAUGAUAAAAUUAGUAUAUUAUUAAUUAAAAAUAUAAAAUCUAAAUUAAAAUUAAUUUAAAGGAAUUCGGCAAAAUUUUAUAUUCACUUGUUUAUCAAAAACAUGUCUUUUAGAUAAUAAUUUAAAGUCUAAUCUGCCCACUGAUUAAUAAAAAUUAAAGGGCUGCAGUAUAUUGACUGUACAAAGGUAGCAUAAUCAUUAGUCUUUUAAUUGAAGACUUGUAUGAAAGAUUUGAUGAAAUAUAAACUGUCUCUAAAUUAUUAAUAAAAAUUAAUUUUUUAGUUAAAAAGCUAAAAUUUAUCUAAAAGACGAGAAGACCCUAUAGAGUUUUAUAAUAAUAAUAAUUAAAAUUAAAUAUUUAAUUAUAAAUUAAAAUUAUUAUUAUUAUUUUGUUGGGGUGAUAAAAAAAUUAAAAGAACUUUUUUUAAAAAAAUUCAUAAAUAAAUGAAUUAUUGAUCCAUUUAUAAUGAUUAGAAGAAAAAAUUACCUUAGGGAUAACAGCGUAAUUUUUUUUUUUAGUACAAAUAAAAAAAAAGGUUGCGACCUCGAUGUUGGAUUAAGAUAAAAAUUAAAUGCAAAAGUUUAAAAUUUUGAUCUGUUCGAUCAUUAAAAUCUUACAUGAUCUGAGUUCAAACCGGUGUGAGCCAGGUUGGUUUCUAUCUUUAGUAAAUUAAAAUAUUUUA
rnacentral:rRNA from 1 species